rnacentral:rRNA from 1 species
GACGAACGCUGGCGGCGUGCUUAACACAUGCAAGUCGAACGGAAAGGCCUGCUUGCAGGGUACUCGAGUGGCGAACGGGUGAGUAACACGUGGGUGAUCUGCCCUGCACUUCGGGAUAAGCCUGGGAAACUGGGUCUAAUACCGGAUAGGAGCCAUUUUUAGUGUGAUGGUUGGAAAGUUUUUUCGGUGUAGGAUGAGCUCGCGGCCUAUCAGCUUGUUGGUGGGGUAAUGGCCUACCAAGGCGGCGACGGGUAGCCGGCCUGAGAGGGUGGACGGCCACAUUGGGACUGAGAUACGGCCCAGACUCCUACGGGAGGCAGCAGUGGGGAAUAUUGCACAAUGGGCGCAAGCCUGAUGCAGCGACGCCGCGUGGGGGAUGACGGCCUUCGGGUUGUAAACUCCUUUCGCUAGGGACGAAGCUUUUGUGACGGUACCUAGAGAAGAAGCACCGGCUAACUACGUG